rnacentral:rRNA from 1 species
UGCGUAGGCGGUCUUGUAGGUCAGAUGUGAAAUCCCACGGCUCAACCGUGGAAUUGCGUUUGAAACCACAGGACUUGAGUAAGAUAGAGGUAAGCGGAACUGAUGGUGGAGCGGUGAAAUGCGUUGAUAUCAUCAGGAACACCGGUGGCGAAAGCGGCUUACUGGGUCUUUACUGACGCUGAGGCACGAAAGCUAGGGGAGCGAACAGGAUUAGAUACCCUGGUAGUCC